UGGAAGCUGGAGGUUUGUGCUUGCAGCAGGGGGCGCUGUGUUGUUAUGUCUGGCAGUUGGCCUAUUUUCCUAUUGGAAAUAUAACACGAGUGGAAGGAGGUUCAUCCCAUCAUCCCACCAUUCCACCAUUGCCCUGAAAUAUGUUAACCAGCAGAGAUCGGCAGAGACGGAUUCCUGUCACAUCUACGAAAAUCAUGUGGCACAAAGCCAGGAUGAGAGCAUCUAUGCGAAUGAGAACACCUGUGCGCCCAGGACACAGAAACUCAUGACCCUGAAGGAGCAGGCUUGCUGUGAGGAGGACGUUUACGCUAACUGAUGAAUGCACAUCCAAACUGAGCUGUUAAU